GAGUAUCCAUUUAAAGGGAUAAUCCACCAGAAACGUAUUAGAAACAUUGAUAAAGUAGUCCAUGUGAAAUCUUUUUUUUUUUUUUUUUUUUUUUUUUUGCACAUCAACCCUAGAGAGGGCAAGCAAUUUGGAGAACUGAUCAAUGAAUAUACAAAUUACUGUAGGGGUUGAGAAAUAAAGUUGCAGUUAAGACCAAAAAUUUAGGGGUUUUUUUGGACACAAAUACCAGAUAUUGGUUUGAUGUAGACAGAAACAAAGUCAUGUAAAAUAAAUAAAUAAAAGGUACAUGAUGCACACUGUGAAGUGUAAUGGAGGCCCUAGAUCACUUGUUAAGAUGCAUAUUCUUCGUACAAGAUGGCGGCGCGUCCACACGCAGCGGCUUCUCUCUGUCCCGACAGAACGUGUUUUCGUGUUUUUUGUCUUGUGAGUCGCAGUGUUUUUGUACGUCGUCAUCGCGUCUAUCUGUCUUUAAGCGCGCAUACAGUCGUGAGUUUCUGCUGGAUGUCGGCAGAGCCGCAUUUUUAGAGUUAAACUCCACGCACGCGGAACAGCUGCGGGCCCUCAGAAUACUCCGGAGGCCUACAUCAUCACCGACCCCCACUACUGCAUCUCGCCCACAGCGGAGGCGCCACAAGCGGCGUGAGAGGAAGCAGAAGAGGGGUAAGCGCGGAGGUAUCCAGGCUAGGCUAACGGCUAACCCACACAAGCCAUCUAUCCCCACCAUCGUACUGGCUAACGUAUGCUCUUUGGACAAUAAACUGGACUACAUCCGAUUACUACGUUCAACUCAGAGGACUGUAAGAGACUGUUGUGUGAUUGUAUUCACGGAAACAUGGGUCAGCGACAGCGUUCCGGACUGCGCCAUUCAGCUCGACCAGCUGACGUGCUAUCGAGCAGACAGAGCUCGCGUCGCGGGAGGAAAAACAUGCGGCGGUGGGCUUUGUGUUUACAUCAAUGACGCGUGGUGCCACGAUGCUGUUGUGAUCUGCAAACACUGCUCACCCCUGGUGGAGUUUAUGAUUAUAAAGUGCCGGCCGUUCUAUCUGCCGAGGGAAUAUACUGCCAUACUGCUCAUUUCGGUUUACAUUCCCCCGAACAACAGCAACAGGAACGACGCACUAAAUGAACUGUACCAGCACAUCAGCGAGCAGCAGACAGCACACCCCGAUGCUUUUCUCAUCAUAGCUGGGGAUUUCAACCAUGCUGACUUAAAGAGUGUGUUUCCAAAAAUACACCAACACAUUAACUUUCCAACACGAGGUAAUAACAUUUUAGACUUUGUUUACACCACACAGAGAGGAGCUUACAAAGCCCUCCCCCUCCCCCACCUCGGUGCCUCAGACCACAUCACUGUCAUGCUAAUGCCUGCAUACAGACCGCUCGUUAAAGUCGCUAAACCAGUUCAGAAACAGAUUCAAGUGUGGCCAGAAGGGUCGUCUGACGCUCUUCAGGACUGCUUUGAUACAACUGACUGGAAUAUGUUUAAGCAGGCUGCCACUUACAAUAACUCCACUGACCUCCAGGAGUACUCGGAGACUGUCACUGCCUACAUCACCAAGUGUAUUGAGGAUGUAACAGUCACAAAAACCAUUACUGUCCGGGCCAACCAGAAGCCGUGGAUGACAGGGGAAGUCUACAGACUCCUGGAGACGCGGAACGCUGCCUUCAGAGCUGGAGACGAGGGGGGCCUGAGAACAGCCAGGGCCAACCUAUCCCGCGGCAUCAGAGAGGCUAAGAGACAGUACUCCAGGAGGAUAGCCCAUCAAUUCAGCGACAGCAGAGACACUCAAAGACUNNNNNNNNNNNNNNNNNNNNNNNNNNNNNNNNNNNNNNNNNNNNNNNNNNNNNNNN
ensembl:lncRNA